GAGAUGCCGGAACCCACACCCGAACAGACCGAACCACCUGCCAGACCGCCUGAACCACCUGCAAAGCACGCUGGAACCACCUGCUCCACUCGCCGGAACCACCUACCUGACACUCCAAAAUCACCUGCCGGCUAUGCCAGAAGGCACUUGGCGAACACUCCGGAAUCACCUGCCAGGCAUGCCGGAACCACCUCUCAGAAAUGCCAGAACCACAUGCCAAUGACACCGGAAGGACCUGCUGAGCACACAGGAACCACCUGCUCGACUCGCCAGAACCCCCUGCGCGGCACGCCAAAAUCACUGCCGGGUACGCCAGAACCACUCGGCAGACGCUCCGGAAACACCUCCAGGAGAGACCGGAAUCACCUGCCGGACACGCCGGAUCCACCGGCUCGACUCGCAGGAACCACUGCCGGACAUGCAAAAUCACCUGCCGACUACACCAGAACACUUGGCGAUCACUCCAGAAGAUUCACCUGCCAGGCAUGCCGGAACCACCUCUCAGACAUGCCAGAACCACAUGUGAAUGGCACCGGAAGCACCUGCCGAGCACGCUGGAAGCACCUGCUUGACUCUCCAGUGCCACCUGCCGGACACACCAGAAACACCUGCUGGCUACGCCGGAACCACUCGGCAGACACUCCGGAACCACCUCCAGGACAGACCGGAUCCACCUGCCGGACACGCCGGCACCACCUGCUUGACUCGCCAGAACCACCAGCCGGACACGCCAAAAUAACCUGCCGGCUACGCCAAACCACUCUGGAAUCACCUGCCAGGCAUGCCGGAACCACCUCUCAGAGGUGCCAGAACCACAUGUCGGAGACUCCGGAAUCACCUGCCGGGCAUGCUGGAACCAUCUCUCAGACGUGGCACAACCACGUGCCGGAGAGACCAGAAGCACCUGCCGAGCUCGCCGGAACCACCUGCUGGACAUGCGGGAACCACCUGCGUGACAGGCCAAAAUCAUAUGUCGGCUAUGCGCAAACCACUUGGUGGACACUCCAGAAUCACCUUGCGGGCAUGACAGAACCACGUCAUGGACAGACUGAAAACACCUGCCCAACCAGACAGAACCACCUGCCGAGCUUGCCGGAACCACCUGCUCGACUCACCAGAGCCACCUGCAGGACACGCCAAAAUCACCUGCCGGCUACCACACAACCAAUUGGUGAACACUUCGGAAUCACCUGCCGGGCUUGCUGGAACCACCUGCCGGUCACGCCAACAUCACCUGCCAGCUACGCCAGAAACACUUGGCGGACACUCCAGAAACACCUGUAGGGCCGGCCGGAACCAUCUCUCUGACGUGCCAGCACCAUGUGCCUGAGAUGCCGGAACCACACCCCGAACAGACCGAAACCACCUGCCAGACCCGCCUGAACCACCUGCCGAGCACGCCGGAACAACCUGCUCGACUCGCCGGAACCACCUACCUGACACGCCAUAAUCACCUGCCGGGUAUGCGAGAACCACUUGGUGGACACUCCGGAAUCGUCUGCCGGACAUGCCAGAACCAGCUCUCAGACACACCAGAACAACGUGCCGGACACGCCGGAAGCACCUGCUGCGCAUGCCUGAGCCACCUGCUCGACUCGCAAGAAACCCCUGCCGGACACGCAAAAAUCACCUU
rnacentral:lncRNA from 1 species